rnacentral:rRNA from 1 species
GACGAACGCUGGCGGCGUGCUUAACACAUGCAAGUCGAGCGGUAAGGCCCUUUCGGGGGUACACGAGCGGCGAACGGGUGAGUAACACGUGGGUGACCUGCCCUCAGCUCUGGGAUAAGCCUGGGAAACUGGGUCUAAUACCGGAUAUGACUCCAUGACGCAUGUUGUGGGGUGGAAAGCCUUGUGCGGCUGAGGAUGGGCCCGCGGCCUAUCAGCUUGUUGGUGGGGUGAUGGCCUACCAAGGCGACGACGGGUAGCCGGCCUGAGAGGGCGACCGGCCACACUGGGACUGAGACACGGCCCAGACUCCUACGGGAGGCAGCAGUAAGGAAUAUUGCGCAAUGGGCGAAAGCCUGACGCAGCGACGCCGCGUGGGGAUGAAGGUCUUCGGAUUGUAAACCCCUUACGGGAGGGAAGAUGGAACGAGCAAUCGUUCGGACGGUACCUCCA